rnacentral:rRNA from 1 species
AGCUCCAAUAGCGUAUAUUAAAGUUGUUGCAGUUAAAAAGCUCGUAGUUGGAUCUCAGGUCCCGGCUCGCGGUUCACUUCACGGUGCUUACUGCCCGUCCGGACCUACCCGCCGGUUUUCUCUUGGUGCUCUUCGUUGAGUGUCUCGGGUGGCCGGAACGUUUACUUUGAAAAAAUUAGAGUGUUCAAAGCAGGCGAUUCGCCUGAAUAAUGGUGCAUGGAAUAAUGGAAUAGGACCUCGGUUCUAUUUUGUUGGUUUUCGGAACUCGAGGUAAUGAUUAAGAGGGACAGACGGGGGCAUUCGUAUUACGGUGUUAGAGGUGAAAUUCUUGGAUCGCCGUAAGACGAACUACUGCGAAAGCAUUUGCCAAGAAUGUUUUCAUUAAUCAAGAACGAAAGUA